rnacentral:rRNA from 1 species
ACGCGGGAAAUCUUACCAGGUCCAGACAUAUGGAGGAUUGACAGACAGUUAACCAAAACGCACCAGCUAGUUUAACAAAACUAACAGCUCUUUCAAGAUUAUGUGGUAGGUGGUGCAUGGCCGUUCUUAGUUCGUGAAGUGAUUCGUUCGCCCAAUCGCAUUUCCAAACAACUAACAACUCAGAAUGCUGGGCAAUAGGACGUUUAAAGUGGCUCCUUACACCUUACAAAGGAAUGGCUGAUGAGAAACAACUCGAUCCGCUCAGCGUUCUAUUGGAAUGCAACGGACGUGAUUGCAAGCUUUUGUUUUGAGUUGCGGUUUUACUGAAAGACUCUACAAUCCGC